rnacentral:tRNA from 1 species
CAAAGUAUAGCUAGGAAGUAAGCUUUUCUCUUACACAGAAAAAAUACCCGUGCGACUCGGGUUACUUUGA